CUGGAAAUGUUUUUGUUGUUGGGGGAUUUUUUGUUGCUGUUUUAAUCUUCCUACUUGUUAUUGGUCUUUCAGAAUUUCUAUUUCUACCUGAUUCAAGCUUGGGAGGUUGUGUUCCCCAAAAUGUAUUCAUUUCCCUAGAUUUGUAUGCAGUUCAUAGCAGUCUUGGGUGAUAUUUUGUAUUUCUGUGGUAACAGUUGUAAUGUCUCCCUUUUCAUUUCUGAGUGAGCUUAUUUCAAUCCUUGGUCUUCUACUCUUGACUAAUUUAGCUAGUGGUCUAUAAAUUCUGUUUAUCUUUCCAAGAACAACUUUUCAUUUCAUUGAUCCUUGGUAUUGUUCUGUUGGUUUCAAUUUUGUUUAGUUCUGUGCCAACCUUUGUUAUCUCUUUUCUUCUGCUAGUUUUGGUUUGUUUUUAUUUUUUUAGUUCCUUGAGGUGUGACAUUAAGUUGUUAAUUUAUGAUCUUUCUGUAUUUUUGAUGUAGGUAUUUAGAGCUAUGAAAUUUCCCGUUAGCACUGCUUUGUUGUACCCCAGAGAUUUUGAAAACCUGGUCAUUCCUAUUAUUCAAUUUGGAAUUUUUUCCUUAUUUCCAUCUUAACUUUUUCAUUGAUCUAAAGAUCAUUCAGCAGCAUUUUGUUUAAUUUCUGUGUGUUUGUGUAGUUUUGAGACUUCCUCUUGGAAUUUCUAGUUUUAUUUCUCGUUUUAUUCAACUGUGGUCUGAGAAGACACAUGUUAUGAUUUUGAUUUUGAUUUUUAAAAAUUUGUUGAGGCUUGUUUUAUGACCUAAUAUAUGACCUAUCUUGGGAACUGUUCCAUGUAGUGAUAAGAAUAUAUAUUCUAUAGUUUGAGGGUAGAAUGUUUUAUAAAUUUCUGUUGGGUCUAUUUAUUCUGGAGUUCCAUUUAAAUCAGUGUUUGCUGAUUUUCUGCCUUGAUGAUCUAUCUAGUUCUGUUAGUGGAGUAUUAAAGUCAUCAGCUAUUAUGAUGUUGCUGUUCAUUUCUUUCCUUAAGUCUAGUAGUAGGAGCUCCUAUGUUAGGUCCAUACAUAUUUAGGAUUGUUAUAUCUUCUUGUUCAGUUGAUCUCUUCAUCUUAUAUAAUGACCUUUAUCAUUUUCUUUUUUGUUUUUUACUAUUUUAUCUGCUAUAAGAUAUUUCCUGCUCACUUUUGAUUUCCAUUUGUGUGGAAUAUUUUUUUUAACCCCUUCUCCUUGAGUCUAUGAGAAUCUUCACUACUUAAAGGGUUUCUUGGAGAUAUCAUAUACUUAGGUUGUGUUUUUUGUCCACUCCACCAAUCUAAAUCUUUUAAGUUGGGCAUUUAGACCAUUUAUGUUCAAUGUUAAUAUUGAUAUGUGAGAUAUGCUACCAGUCAUCAUGUUGAUUACUACCUACUUGUUUUGAAUUCUCCCUUGUGUUACUAUUUUGUAAAAGCCAUGAGUUGUUACUUUUAGCUGUUUUCACACUGGUGGAUAUCAAUUGUUCUGUACGAUGUGUAGAACACUUUUAAGGAUUUCUUGUAAGGCAGGCCUAAUGAUGUCAAAUCCCCUGUUUGCUUGUCUGGAAAAGACUUUUUUUCUCUUUCAUUUAUGAAGCUGAGUUUUGUAGGAUACAAAAUUCUUGGCUGACAGUUAUUGAGUUAAAGAUAGGGCCCUGAUUCUUUCUGGCCUGUAAGGUUCCCUCUGAGAAGAAACAUUGCUGUUGGUCUGAUAGAUUUUCCUUUAUAAAUUACUUGAUUAUUUUGUCUUGCAGCUUGUAAGAUUUUCUCCUUCAUUUGUUUUUUUUUUUUUUUUUGAAUUUCACUUUGUUGUCCUUGGUAGAGUGGCAUGACAUCACAGCUCACAGCAAUCUCAAAUUCUUGGGCUUGAAUUCUCUUGCCUCAUUUUCCCAAGUAGCUGUGACUACAGGCACCUGCCACAAGGCCAAGCUAUGUUUAGAGACCAGGUCUUGCUCUGGUUCAGACUGGUCUCAAACUCGUGAGCUCAGGCAAUCCACCUCCCUCGGCCUUCCAGAGUGCUAGGAUUACAGGCAUGAGCCACUGUGCCUGGCCUUUCCUCCUUCAUUUUGACUUUGGCUAGUCUGAUGACUAUGUGCCUUGGAGAUGUCCUAUUUGCAAUGAUUCUUCAAUGACUUUCUUUCUUUUUUUUGCAGUUUUUGGCCGGGGCCGGGCUUGAACCUGCCACCUCAGGUAUAUGGGGCCAGCACCCUACUCCUUGAGCCACAGGUGCUGCCCUCUUCAAUGACUUUCUUGUAAUUGGAUGUCUAAGUCUCUAGCAAGACUAGGGAAGUUUUCCUCCAUUAUUCACUCAAAGACUGCAGAAGCAAAGAGAAACAAACAUAUUUCACUCUGGGACCUUUUUACUCAUUGGGAUUCCAGAAACUCGGAGUGAAAGCCAACCACAGACUAGGUUCUACAGCGGCAGAGAAGAGUAUCAUGGGAGAAAAACCAGGAAUAAAAAUGGAGACGUUGACACUUCAAAGUAAAAGUAACCAAAGUCCUCAGAAUAUAAAGGAGAAAAAAGAAACCCGAGGACCAAAAAGGCUCUCAGGCCAGUUAGUUACAUGUUGGAGACCAUGGAGACCAUGGAGGCAUGAUGUAACCAUGACAUCCAGACUUUCCUGGAAGAAUGGGAAUUCCUUGAACAUGAAGUGCUCUUUAGGAGGAACAAGAAAAAUCAGAAGCUGGCAAAAGCAAUUGCCUAGCAUCUCAAGGAGAGAAACAUAAAGAAAAGCCGGCAACAGUGUCUCCAGAUGAUGAUAAAUUUACAAGAUCUGUAGUGGACUAUUCAUGAAGGCAACCAGAAACCUAGGAGUGAACCCUUGCCAUGUCCUAUGGAGAGACCUUCUACUUUGGAUAUAAUAGGGAGCACAAUCAUGUCUCAGGUCUUCCCUCUGCAGAAAUAGCCAAUCUUCCACCUCCCCAGUACCAGCUCUAGGCAGGUGGCAUCCUUGUACCCCCUCCGGAGAUGUUGUGGCCUCCCUAAUCUGUGAUCUUCAUGCAGAAUCCGAAGUUACCUGAAUGGAACUCCUGGGCCAUAAGCACACCAGAGUCAGCUCAAUGCCCGUUUCCUACCUUUUCCAUGGCAGUCCUCAGACUCCAGUGGCAAUGGAUGUGGAUCCUGACUGUACACGAGAGACACAAAUGUUGUCUUCUACAUACUUAUAACUCCUUCUCUUCCCCAAACCCAAUGAAAUGAAAAUAAAAUGUG